UACGGGGGGGGCAAGCGGUUGUUCGGAAUUACUGGGCGUAAAGGGCCAGUAGGCGGCCAACUAAGUCGGAUGUGAAAUCCCCAGGCUCAACUUGGGAACUGCAUCCGAUACUGGAUGGCUUGAGUUUGGGAGAGGGAUGCGGAAUUCCAGGUGUAGCGGUGAAAUGCGUAGAUAUCAGGAGGAACACCGGUGGCGAAGGCGGGUCUCUGGGCCGAAAUUGGACGCUGAGGAGCGAAAGCGUGGGGAGCAAACAGG
rnacentral:rRNA from 1 species